GACGAACGCUGGCGGCGUGCUUAACACAUGCAAGUCGAGCGAGCAGAUUUCCUUCGGGGAUGAAGCUAGCGGCGGACGGGUGAGUAACACGUGGGCAACCUGCCUUAUAGAGGGGGAUAGCCUUCCGAAAGGAAGAUUAAUACCGCAUAACAUCAGAUUAUCGCAUGGUAGACUGAUCAAAGGAGCAAUCCGCUAUAAGAUGGGCCCGCGUCGCAUUAGCUAGUUGGUGAGGUAACGGCUCACCAAGGCGACGAUGCGUAGCCGACCUGAGAGGGUAAUCGGCCACAUUGGGACUGAGACACGGCCCAGACUCCUACGGGAGGCAGCAGUGGGGAAUAUUGCACAAUGGGGGAAACCCUGAUGCAGCAACGCCGCGUGAGUGAUGAAGGCCUUCGGGUUGUAAAGCUCUUUGAUCAGGGACGAUAAUGACGGUACCUGAAGAACAAGCCACGGCUAACUACGUGCCAGCCGCCGCGGUAACAC
rnacentral:rRNA from 1 species